GCCCACUUAGCUCAGAGGUUAGAGCAUCGCAUUUGUAAUGCGAGGGUCUGUGAUGAACUACUUUCCAAUAAGGGAGCA
rfam:Triticum aestivum genome assembly, contig: Triticum_aestivum_CS42_TGACv1_scaffold_114696_2AS